ACAGACCUCUGGUUUACCGGUUGUGACGCCAGUUGCACUGCCGGGUAUCUAAGUCUGGAUGGGAUAAGCGCUGAAAGCAUCUAAGUGCGAAGCCCGCCACAAGAUUAGAUUUCCUCAAAAGGGUCGUCACAGACGAUGACGUAGAUAGGAUGCAGGUGUAAAGUCAGCAAUGGCAAAGCCGAGCAUUACUAAUAGCCCGAAACUUCUAGUCCU
rnacentral:ncRNA from 1 species